CCAGUCCGUUGCCCCUGAUGGUGCAUAAGAUGGUCAUCACGUUCUUUGCCUUUGUCUCAAGACUGCACCUAAUAUCAUUCUCUCACCUGUCUCCAGGAACCCAUUGCCACGAGUGGUCGCCUGAGUCUGCUGUUAAUCCGGAACCCAGCUUUGUCAUCAUCACCGGUCAAACCACGAGCCUCUGCCAAAUCUGGCAUUCACCCCGAGACACGGACGAGUGACGGUUUUGCCAGCUCUCCUCUGCCACCUUCUCCACCAAGACCACUGCUUUGUCAUGGACUGGCUCUCAACCCCCAUUAUCCCUCAUACCUUCUGGAUGCAGGUUGACAUCUGCCCAAAGCCCAACCAUCAAAGACUAUGGACUCAUUCAUUACCAUCUUUCGUAUCACAAAUAAAUAUUUGAUUCCCA